GAGUAACACGUGGAUAACCUACCUAUAAGACUGGGAUAACUUCGGGAAACCGGAGCUAAUACCGGAUAAUAUAUUGAACCGCAUGGUUCAAUAGUGAAAGACGGUUUUGCUGUCACUCAUAGAUGGAUCCGCGCCGCAUUAGCUAGUUGGUAAGGUAACGGCUUACCAAGGCAACGAUGCGUAGCCGACCUGAGAGGGUGAUCGGCCACACUGGAACUGAGACACGGUCCAG
rnacentral:rRNA from 1 species